rnacentral:tRNA from 1 species
GGAGUAAUACCCAAGCGGUUGAAGGGACUGGUUUCGAAAACCAGCAGAGGUGAAUAGCCUGCCGGGGUUCAAAUCCCCGUUACUCCG